rnacentral:rRNA from 1 species
GAUCAACGCUGGCGGCGUGCCUAACACAUGCAAGUCGAACGCGAAAGGGGGCUUCGGCUCCUAAGUAGAGUGGCGUCCGGGUGAGUAACACGUAGGUAAUCUGCCUUCGGGUGGGGAAUAACCAGUCGAAAGAUUGGCUAAUACCGCAUAAUGCAGCGGCACCCUAAAUGGUGGAUUAGUUGUUAAAGCGGGGGAUCGUAAGACCUCGCGCCUGAAGAGGAGCCUGCGCAGAUUAGCUAGUUGGUGAGGUAAUGGCUCACCAAGGCUUCGAUCUGUAGCUGGUCUGAGAGGACGGCCAGCCACACUGGCACUGACACACGGGCCAGACUCCUACGGGA